GACUUAGGACGUAAUUGGUCUUUUUCUUUAUUUGUAUUGAGUCAGAUUGUAUUAAAUAAAUGUAAUAUGAUUGUCAGGUGAGCCGGGACAGCCUUCUUCCUCCUCACAGCCGCCACAGUAAUUUGUCGUCAAGUCUGCCACAGGAGGAUAUUUUGUUCUGGGUUAACCUGCCUUUUUACCUCGCAGGUUGUUUAUCAAUAUUGUGUAAUUUUAAUUACUCCUAGAAUUUCCGCAUGUGUUAGCAGUAAUUAUUUGAAAUUGGUCUGUAAUAUUAUAUUCAUGUUGGACCUGUAAACUUAAUAUUUUAAGUCUGUUUUGAUGGAUUGGAUGAGGGAGCUGAGCUCCCAUUUAUUAUUAUGUUGAUGAGUAUGUGGAGGGUGAGCUGAGCUCCCCAAUGGA